rnacentral:misc_RNA from 1 species
GAUGAAGAACGUAGCGAAAUGCGAAAAGUAAUGUGAAUUGCAGAAUUCAGUGAAUCAUCGAAUCUUUGAACGCACAUUGCGCCCGCCAGUAUUCUGGCGGGCAUGCCUGUCUGAGCGUCAUUUCAACCCUCACGCCCCUAGGGCGUGGUGUUGGGGAUCGGCCAAGGCCCGCAAGGGACGGCCGGCCCCUAAAUCUAGUGGCGGACCCAUCGUGGCCUCCCCUGCGAAGUAGUAAUAUAUUCCGCAUCGGAUAGCGAUGAGCCCCUGCCGUUAAACCCCCAACUCUUUCAAGGUUGACCUCAGAUCAGGUAGGAAUACCCGCUGAACUUAAGCAUAUCAUAAGCGGAGGA